GGCAGCUGGAUCAACUGCCCGGCAGACGAUGACACCACCCCAUGACACCCCCCCAUCCCAAGAACACCUACUCCAGCACAGCAAGGACCAAACUGCCUGAGAAGCCCCAGCAGUGCCUCGUGGCUCCAUUUCUCCAGAGUCUACAGUGAACACUGAGUUGCACAGACAGGAUUAUGCACCACCUAGGCUUUUGAAAGACAGCUGCAGUCCUCUUCUUUAGAAACAGAUCCAGAGUCAAGGAUUUGUGUGCAAGUGAUGCAUUAAGGAAACACUCCCAGGAGAAACCAGUGAGAGAACGGGAGAAGCAGAGAAGGGAAUGGAAAGAGGCCAAACCAACUUGAGACUUGAGACCAAGUCACAGCCUCAGCCUGAUGCCACAAGGGAGCCUCAGGGGAGAGAGAUUACAGUUCAGAGUUUAUUGAAACUCAGGGCAAGGGAGCUGGGGGCCCAAUGACUGCAUCACUGGCCAUGAGAAGCACAAGAACACAGAAACCAGAAGGAAGGAUUGAGAUGGUAAGGGGGCCCCAGGGAGAUCUGGGCAGAGCCUCAGCAGUGCCCCCCACUCCAGGAUUCCCUGUUGGAGGAUCAAGGAUUUUCUGCUUUCACGCAUUCAAGAAAAGGAAAACUUACUGUUCUGUGAUUCAUCAUUUUCCAGUGUUUAACAGGGCUAA